AGGUGUAAUCAUACUAGCACUUGUGCAUCGGAUCCCAUCAGAACUCCACAGAUAAGCGUGCUUGGGCAAGAGUAGUACUAGGAUCGGUGACCUCCUGGGAAGUCCUCAUGUUCGAUCAU
rnacentral:rRNA from 2 species